GGGAAUUUUCCUUGCAAACCACAACCAGCAAGACUGAGAGACCUUAGAGAAGAGGAUAGAUUCAUGAAGACAUGAGCAUUAACAGAAGACAUGUCCAUUCCAUCCAAAAACAGAUGUCUGACCUCGGUUAGGUUGUGAACAAGUCCCUCCAGAGCAUGUUUGUCCAUUCUAUAUUGCAUAGAGAAAGCAGGCCAAGAGGAGAGAUCGAGUAAAACCAAUUUUGACAGGUGGGAGACUUGGGAUGGGACUUCUCCUACAAACCCUGUAUAAGAAAGGUUGAGGUAGAAUAGGCUUGUAAACUGACCGAAAUCGGAUGGAAUUUUGGAAAGAUUAAAAUCAUUGCCGGCAAGGUUGAGUUUUUGAAGGUGAGGAAGAAGGAAGAGAGUGGUAUUGGAAGGGAAGGUGCCAUAUAGGCAACUGCAGCUCAAGUCAAGGGCAAUAACAUGAGCAUUUAGGUGGUCACAAGUGACCCCAUCCCAUGAGCAGCAAUCUGUACCCUCCUUCCAUGAAUUUGUCUUGGGAUAAGAUUUAGGGCCGCAAGACGAAUAAGCAGCCUCUGUUAUGGAAAAAGAGUUCUUGAACUGGAUUAGUAAAGAGCAGGAGUGAGAUCCUGAAGAAGAAAAAGAAGCAUAAAGAUGGGGAAAGAAGAGGAAUAGGCAGAGAAAGAGACAGGGGGCCAUGUUAUGUUGGUAGAGGAAGAUGAAGGAUAGGAAUGGUAUUUAUAGGCAACAAAUAAUACCACAACAUUGGUGUUAGUCUUUUUUUUCUUUAACAUUGAAAAGUUAUGGAUGCUUUUACCAUAUAUUUUUCAUUCUCAAAAUUGGAUGCUUUUUCUUUUAUUUCAUAAAAACGUGUAUACUUUUAUAUGCUUUUUGUUUUAGCAAAAUUUUGUAUUUCAUAAAAAUGUGUAUACUUAUAUAUAUAUAUAUAGCCUCAUAAUUCAAAUCUAAAAUCUCAUUUGUUAUAAAUUUUGAUAAAUCAAAGGGUGAUAAAUUAGGCCCGUUUAAAAUAUGAGCUGGGUUUAGGCUUGAACAUUCAAAGCUCGAGCCCAGCCCGGCCCAUUUUUAAGUGUAUAAUACUUUAUAUUUUAUAAUUUAGAACAGAUUAAAAAAAUAAACUUAUAUUAAAUAUAUAAUAAUACUAUAAUGUAAACAUUAAAAUAAUGUUAAGAUGACUAUAUAAAAAUUUUCAAUAAAUAAAAAAUAUUUAAAUUAUUAAAUAUUAAAAUAAUAUAAUAUAAAUAUUUAAAAAAAAACUAAAAAUUAUAUGGGCAUGCCUAAAAUGAGCUUGGGUUAGUCUUUUGCAAAUAUGGAUGAGUUUAGGCAAAAUUUUAAGCUCAUAUUUUGGGCCGAGCCGAGCUUGAGCAAGCAUAAAGUACGUUAAUAUCAUGCUUAGGCCUGACCUGGCCAGGCUCAUGAGCACCUCUAUAGUUGAGUGACUAGAAUAGAACUAAAGGAAUAGUUUAGUGAUUAUUUUUGUAAUUGACCCAUAUGAAAUUUAGGUUAAUUUCUGCUAUUAGUCCUUAUACUUUGCAAAAGUUGUGGACUUAAUCUUUAUACUUUAAUUUGGUCAUUUUUAGUUCAUCUACUUUUCAAAUUUUAAAAUUUUAGUCAUCACCAAACAAUAACCGUUAAAUUUAUUAAGUUUUGUUAUUUUCAAAAAAUGAUGCGACAAAUAUAUUAGGCUUAACUCAUAAAUCGGUAUCUAAAUUAUACUCAUUUUCCCAUGUUGGUACCUAAACUUAUUUUUGGUCACAAGUGGUACAUAAACUACUUUUUUUCCCAAGUUACUACUGCCAUUAGUCAAAAGUCUAUUUUAGAAAUAGGCUUAACCCAUAAAUUGGUACCUAGACUAAAAUUUGGUACCUCCGUCAUUAGUCAAACCGUUCAGUUUAUAUGAAAAAAAAAUUAACCAAUUAAAAAUUGACAUGUAGUAAAAAAAACUAUUAUUAUUUAUAUAAAUAUAAAUGGAGAGAACUAGUUCAACCGAUUUGUUUUUGUUCGCAAGUCAAUCGAUUCAAACCCUAUUUCCGGACCGAUUUCCUAUCCAACUAGUUGAAUCAAUCUGUUUUUGAAAACACUAGUUUCCCUCAGGUCAGAGAAGUAGGUGGUGAAAUUCAAAACCAAAAUUAAUCACCAACGUUUCGACCUCAAGUGGGCCAAUUUCAAACAUUAUCGGCAUUGUCAAACAUUAUAAAGGAAUAAGAAAGAAAAAUAUAAAAAAUUAAUUAAUUAAUAAUUAUUUUUAAAAGUUUAUAUGACAUACAAUCUAUUAUUUGUUGAAAUCUUUUUAGCCGAUAUAACAUUUUGGUGUAAAAUGAGUAAUGGAAGAAUAGUUUUAGUAAUACUUAUGGCCAAAAUAAAAAUUAGGUACCUUGGGAAAAGGAGCAUUGUUUAGGUAUUAAUUAUUAUUAAUAUUAUUUGAAUCAAGACUAAAAUUUCAAAUUUCAAAAAGUAAAUGGUUUAAAAUUGACCAAUUCAAAAAAUACAAUGACUAAAAUUGAUCAAAUUAAGGUAUAAGGACUAAAUCCAUCAUUUUCGUAAAGUACAGAGACUAAUAGCAGAAUUUAACCUAAAUUUUAAUAUAAAUAAAAUCCAAAGUAGAAUAUAUUUUUUGAUAACUACAAUACAUUUAUGAGCAAGGAAAAAAGGAAGACUUACAAAGAUAAACACAGUAAGAAUGAAAAGAAUAUGGGGAUAAUUUACACAAAUUCCUUCAAAAACCAUAGCUUUUGGAGGUGAAAUUUAAUCAAAGGAAGAAUGAAAGCUCAGGUUUGGGAGUAAAUGAUAACAUACUUUCACCAAAAAGUUCAAAUAAUGAUGCUAACAAGUUCCCCGGGUCUGUGUCUUCCUUCCAAGCCUGAGCUAGAACGGUUGAUGUCUUUGAAACUCGACCCCCAACCUCCCUUCCUAGCAUGUUUUCGUUUGAUAACGGCCGUGACAUUGAUGAUACACCGAUAUUGGAACCUCCUACGGUGGUAGAAAAGCCGCUAACUGCCCCUUGUAAAUCAGUUUGAAUGGAAUUUAUUGGCAUCAUACCUAUUGCACUCUCAGUUGCUAUUUUCUUCGCAGGUGGUUGCUGCUGCAUCAAGGUGUCCGUGCUUGCUUUUCGUUUAUCUUGAUUGAUCAGAAAAAGGAAUAUCGUAAAGGGGGAGAAGAGACUUGUGGAUUAAGUGUAAAUAUGAUGGUUCGAAGAAAUCAUACUUGUCGCAACUUUGUUGUUGCUUUUCCAGAUGGGACGAGUUGGGGGUGCUAGAAAACUGGGGAACAUUUUAAGCCGAUCAUACAUGCACAGUCCAGCUGCACGCUGUUAGUGGAAAUUUUAUGCAGUGUUGUUAGUUCUACAGCAAAUAAAUGAAACGAUGCUCAUAAACUGGUACCAAAUUUGAUGUUAAACUUACCAGCAGGGCCCCAUAAACACACCAGGCCUCGUGUCUUUUUAUUUCAGGUUCAAGAAGCUGCAAAUACGCUUCAAAGCAAACAUGAGAGGGAAAUUAUUCAAAUUCCGUGCAACCUGAGAUAAAUGUGGCAAAAAUGUAAGCUUGAGAUAACCAACCAAAAGUUCUUUGCAACACACAUAUAUAAUGAGGUAUCAAAGAUCUUUAAGACAACCUCAUCCGCAAUGAAAUAUGUAAAAUAAGGAACUAAAGGAUGUAAUCCCGAGUCUGUUGCCAAACUCAGUAAUGCUUGUUUAAAGAGAACUGAGACUGAUUUAUUCAUGGUAAUGUCCACGAUCUUGUCAAAGUAAAGCUGCAUGACAACCAAAUUAGUCUUUUAAUAACAUUCUGUGCAAAAUGUAUUUUAACAUAAAAAUGUUGCUGAAGAUGUACAACAUACUUGAAGCUCUCUAGAUAAUACAUGCUUAACAGGUAAUUUGACAUCAACGGAAAGCCCAUCUUCUUUGUAUUCAGCCUUUUUACCAUCAGAAGGUGCUGCAUGGAAAGCAAACUACCAAUUCCAUGUAGAAAUGAAGAUAAGUCGUAUUAGAUUAAAGUGAUAAAACCAGAAAAGAACAUGAACCAUGAGAGUAUUCAACACAAAUAGCUUCGAGAAAAUAUUUAGGUUAGCUAAGACGGUACCUUCAAUUGAAGCAUUUUCGGGAAUUGCUGGUUGAAUGCCUUCAAUCGCAAGCCAGUGGGAUGUAACAGAUGUAUCAAGUGGUGCUUUUGGUAAAGGUGACUCAAGAACCUACAUACAUAAGGCAACAUAGGAAUUUAAGUGAAGACUUAUUUAAUAAGGCAACAUACAACAGAACCUCGAAUAUUGUUGAUCAGUUCUUACUUCUUUAAACUCCACAUCUUUGUCAUCAAUGUAGAACAAAUCAUUAUGCUUCUUGAAUCGUAGUGCAUCACGAGAGGCAAAUCCACAUAUCGGCUGAUGCCAGAGAAACACAUAACACAAGCCAAUUAACCAAAAUGCAAAAUCUAAAGCAGCAGGUUAAACUUACUACGAUUGGAUUGCAUCAUUUUAACCAGCGUUUUUGGAUUGCAUCAUUUCGAGUUUUGUCGUUCGGGUUUGACAAUUAAUUCAAAUCAUUUUAAGAUCAUGUCAUUUUGGAUUCAAAUUAUCACUUCUUUAUAAUCAAAUCGAGUUGCGUUAAGUUUAAAUUCAAAUUAAUUCAGUUUUACUACUUACUAAAACUUAUGUUUCUCAAAAUAAUUUUUUCAAAUUAAAAUUUAUUAAUUAUUUAAAUUAAGAUGUUAUUUUUUUAUUCUUUAUAUAUGUUUUACAAUUCGUGUUCAAGAUCGGUGGAUACCGCACACAACAUUAUUAUCUCCAACGUCUGAAUACGCAUUAUCUCCUUGAGAAUGUAAUAUGAUUUGCCACUACGCCAAACACUUGUUGGUAUCUAAAAUGGAUAAAAACACAUUUCUCGUCCCUCUCAAUUUCUAUAUUGAACAAAUUGAUUCCUCUCAGAAAAUUAGAGCAAUUUAAUCAUUAUCAAUUUUGAAUGGGAGCAACUAAGAACAAUUAAUCAUUGUGUUAAUACUUUCUGUAAAUUGUAUAUAUUUUUUAUUGAUAUAAUAACAAAAUAAGCUCUCGAUGUUUAUAUAUUAUAUGUAAAUGUUAAUAGAAUAUGUAAUUGUUGCGGGAUAAAUUUGUUAAAUCAAGAUCAAAUUAACAGAAUAUGUAAACAAGUUUAUAAACUUGUUAUUAUACCAAUAAAAAUAUGUACAAUUGAUGGAAAAUAUUGACAUUGUGAUUAAUUGUUCUUAGUUGCUCACUUUCGAAAUUAACAAAGAUUAAAUUGCUUUAAUUUUUUUUAAAAUGGACCAAUUUACUUAAUAUCAAAAUUGAGAGGGACUAAAGAGGGUUUUUACCAUCUAAAAUGUUAUCUAAUACAAGAAAAACUUAACAACUAUUUUUUAAUUAUGAAAAGGUAAACUACAUAAUUAGCCACUGAACUAUGGGUAAAUCUUCGUUUUGGUCACUUAACGAAAAAAGUUACAAUUUGGUCACCCUAUUGUUAAAUGACACUUUGUAGUUGCUAUAAUAACAAUUCUAGUAUUUUGUUUUUAUAAUUUUUUUUGCCAAUUUAAAAAAUAUAAACUUCUGUAUAAAAAUUAUAAAAAAAACUCAAAAUUAUUUUUAAAAAAUAUAAACUUCUAUAUAAAAAUUCUAGAAAAAUAAAAUCUCGAAUAUGUUGUUGUUGAAGAACUAAUAUGUAUGGGAAAUAAAAAAAAUUAUCAUUCAAUAGAAUCCCAUAACAAAUUAAAAACAGAACAAAACAAAAAAAAGGUUAGAUCAUUAUACGCUUCCUCAAUGUUUUUUGCAACCAAAUUAGUAAAAUUUUCAAGUUGAGUUUCAUGCCCUUGAAGAACAUCCGUAACUAUAUUACAAAAGCUUACAAAAUCAACUUUGAUGCCAUUUUUCUAGCAAAAAUAUAAAAUAUACCACAAAAUUUUCUUUUUCAAACUCAAUUCGAAUUUUCAAUUCAUUUAAAUUUAUUUUUAAAAACCCAAAUUAUAAAAGCAGAUUAUAUACAGAUAAUUUUACUUAAUCUUUUUUUUUUUUACUUUUUUCUAUGUUUUCUAAAAGAAUGGAUAUUAGAUAUUUCUUUACAAAUAAUACAAAGAAAAUUUGGAGGGUUUAAAAAUAAUAUUUCCCUCAUUUUCUCUCACUUUAUUUAUAUUUGAAAUUUUUAUCUACUUUCAUUUAAUUUUUAAUUUUUAGAAUUUUGUAAAAUUUAAAAAGAAUUUCACUUUUGUAAUCAUUUUAUAUAAUUAGAGUUAAAUUGACAGAAAGUAUAAAAAUUGAGGAUAAAAAUUAUUAUUAUACCAACUAAAAAGUGUCACUUAAUAGUCAGGUGACCAAAAAAGUUGUAAACUAUAAAAAUAGUCACCCAACUAUUAAAAUUUCCAAUUUAGUUGCUAAACUUUUUGAAAUUAAAUAUUUUAAUCACUUUCCCUUUAGUUGUCGUUAGAUGAGUGACGGAAAGCUGAUGUGGGUUUUUUUUAAUUGAUUUAAUAACAAAUUUAACCUCUAAUAUUUACCAAUGCAACUUUUCACCAUAGGAAAAACUUUCUAACAGACUACUAAACAAGAAAUUAUGAAGACACAGCAGAAAUGCUUUAACUUCAUUUGAACCAACUAGAUCCUUCUUCAUCCAUUGAUGCGAUUGCUAUAUUUCGGCUUUCUUCUUCGCCUCUUCUCAUGUUGGUCUUCAGCCAAAUUCACGAACCUUUUCGCCUUACCGGUUUGGAAAACAACACAUCCCAUGGCCAUUCCACAUGUUGGAAAAGGAUUACCCCUACCGUUAUAUUUUGUCUUCUCUCAUCAAUGAUAUUGCGAUACCCAAAGUUUGGUAUCGCGAUAUCUACAACAGUCUUGGGGAUCCUUGGGAGUUUUGGGUAUCGCGAUAUCUUAUGACCGGUAUCACGACAACACUGUUGAUGGCUCAAUCUUCCUUGUUUUUAACAUUGUUAUGGGUAUUACGACUUUCAUGCUUUGAUCUGCGAUACCCUCUUUCUAGGUAACAUUUUCGCUCCUUCCAGGCCACCAUGGGCUCUCUGCAUCACUCAUCAACCUCAUUAGAUUCCCGGAGUGCCAUUUGGCCAUCUUAGGUCUUAAAAUAGCAUCAAAAUGCACACUAAUCAUUUAUUAAUAUAAAGAACUAAAACAAAAUAAAAACGCAACAAAGAUAUCUAAAUUGCUCGAAAAUAAACUUUUAAGUGUGAUGGAGAGCCUAAUUUGACAUAUCAAUUUAUAGCAAAUCAUAAACAUUAUUUGCGGAACUUGUUAAAAUUUCAGAUUUCUUUAUUAGUUUUCUUUCAAUAUUUUGUACGGUUCAUUUGUAGUAAUAUAUUGUGCAGAUCAUAGGCUAAAUUGCUUUAUUAGUUUUCUAUUGUUGAUCUUUAUUAUUAUUAUUAUUAUUAUUAACACUACUUCCUUUUUACCAUAUAAUUUUUAUUCAUAAAAAUGAAGAGUUGAUUUACCCAAAAUUUGUAUUUCAUUUGAACUCCCUAAAGAAUGAAGAACUGAAAUAAUUAGAAAUUAUUUUGACUUGCUCUUGCUUCCUUUCUAUGUAUGAAUGUGGAAAUUGGCAUAAUGCCAACUUAUUUUCCACGCAGAAGAAGAAAAUGGUGCUCUAUUCACUCCCUUUAACUCAGCAACUUUGUAAUCAUUCUAUAUAAUCAGAGUCAAAUUGACAAAAAUUAGUAUAAAAAUUGAGGAAUCAAAUUAUUAUUAUGCCAACUAAAAAGUGUCACUUAAUAGUCAGGUCACCAAAAAUGUUGUAAACUAUAAAAAUAGUCACCCAACUAUUAAAUUUUCCAAUUUAGUUGCUAAACUUUUUGAAAUUAAAUAUUUUAAUCACUCUCCCUUUAGUUGUCGUUAGAUGAGUGACGGAAAGCUGAUGUGGGUUUUUUUAUUGAUCUAAUAACAAAUUUAACCUCUAAUAUUUACACAUAGGAAAAAAAUUGAAAGACUUCAAAACAAGAAAUUAUGAAGAUACAACAUCAGCACUUGAACAUCAUUUCCACUAACUAGAUCCUUCUUCGUCCAUUGCUGCGACUGCCAUCCUUUGACUUUCUUCUUCGCUUCUUCUCAUGUUGGAUUUCAACCAAAUUCACCAACCAUUUCGGCUUACCAGUUUGGAAAACAACAUAUCCCACGGACAUUCCCAACACCACUCCGCAUCCAUAACCUAUCAACACCACUUUCCAACCAAAAGUAAUGUUUGAUUUUGAGCCAUCUUUUUCAAGCACAUUUGGAGGUGCUGGCUCAAUGAUGUUGCAACCUUUCGAGACCGGAAAUCCACAUAAUCCCCUGUUCCCUUCAUAUGAAUCAUUUCCAAAUGUGUUGAACUGUUUGCCUUGAGGAAUCUGACCAUGGAGUUGAUUUUCAGAAACAUUGAAGGACGAAAGAAAUGGCAGAUCUGCCAAUCUAAUUGGAAUCGUCCCAGACAACCUGUUUGAAGAUAGGUCCAACCAUUCAAGAUUUGUCAAAUUCCCUAUUGAGGUGGGGAUACCACCAUUAAGGUUAUUAUGAGAAAGGUUGAGCCCUUUCAGUAAGUUAAGCUUCCCAAUAACCUUUGGAAUACCCCCUUCAAACUGAUUGUUUGAUAGAUCAAUGAUCAUCCACAUGGUGAAAAUUUUCACCAAUUCCAUAUCUUGUCCUUUCAUAACAAUUCCAAUGGAAUAGGUAUAGAAGCCACUACCUCGAGGAUCAUUCACCCCCAUGUACGACACUGUACUACCAAUCUUCUCUAGAUUUAUGAUAGCCUUGAAGCUGUUGAUGUAUCUCACAGGUAGGGGUCCAGAAAAAUAAUUACUCGAGAGAUCAAAAAUUUGGAUUUUAGAGAAAAAAAGGCUAGACUUGGAGCUAUUGACACAUAAGGAACCAUGCAUAUGAUUUGACUUCAAUACAAGAACUUGCAAAAAUGGAAGACUUCCCAACCAAUGAGGAAAUGUAUCAUUGAUCUUGUUGUUACCAAGAUCUAGCACUUCCAGACCAAUACAAUUAAGGAUGGAUGGUGUCAAAGGCCCUUCUAACAGAUUUCCGUUUAAGUUGAAAUUAGUCAACUGGCAUCCCUCUGCAAAUGUUGGAGGAAUCGUCCCAUAAAACUUGUUCUUCUUCAGAUUCAAGAUUUCAAGGCUGUUGCUCAAAUUUCCAAAACAUUGCGGAAUUGUUCCACUCAAGUUAUUGUGGGACAAAUCAAGAAUUCCAAGACAUUGCGGAAUUGUUCCACUCAAGUUAUUGUGGGACAAAUCAAGAAUUCCAAGAGAAGUGACAUUGCAGAUUAAAGAAGAGACCUCUCCAUUGAAACUAUUAUUUGAGAUUAGAAAGACAUUGAUGGUCGAAGCUGGAAUCGGAAGAUUUCCACGGAUCAAAUUGGAGCUUAAGUCAAGAAAUUCAAUAUUCUUCCAUUGAAAGUGCUCAACUUCUGUCAAAGAGUUGUGGGAUACAUUUAAGUAAGUCAAAGAGCCAUUUCCCACCUCUUGCAUCCACUGUGGAAUCUUGCCUUCAAUUUUGUUGCAAGAGAGGUCUAACCAUUUCAAACUUUUAAGCCCCUUUAAAAAUUGGGGGAAUUCACUAAGAUUGCAAGAUGACAAAAAUAAGCUUGUAAGAUUAACAGUAGAAGUAGUAUUAGAUGUUAAGGAUAGGCUGUUAUAUGAAAGGUCAAGAUCUUCGAGAUUUGGAAGGUUUGAGAACAUGCGAAACUCUAUGACACCACUAAGAUUAUUUGAGGAUAAGCUGAGAAGGGUAAGAUUGAGAAGUUGGAAUAUUGAAGAUGGAAGAGGACCUUGGAGUUUAUUAUUGUCUAGAUAUAAAUAUUCUAGUGAUUUGGAUUGGAAUUCUUUGAUAAGCCCACUGAAUUGAUUUUGAGAGAGAUAUAUUCUCUUUAAGGAGGGAGCAGUAUGGAACCAUGACGGAGGUGUUCCAUUGAGUAAAUUGUUAGUUAAGUCUAAAUAUAUUAGAUUAGGAAAAGCGGUUACCUCAUCUGGAAUGGAACCGUUUAAUGAAUUUUCAGAUAUUCUCAAGCUUUCCAACUGCGUUAGGUUUAGAAUUGACGAUGGAAUUUGUCCACUCAAUUGGUUCUGCGACAAGUCUAAAAGAGUGAGUUGCAAGUGGUUCCCCAAUGAUCUUGGAAUUUGUCCACUCAAUUGGUUCCCCGACAAGUCUAAAUGAGUGAGUUGCAAGAGGUUCCCCAGUGAUCUUGGAACCGUUCCUGAUAAGUUGGAAUUGGAGAGAUCUAAAAACUUCAAUGACACAAGAUUCCCCAUCGAGUCAGGCAAUCCUCCAAAAAAAUUUGCGCCUCCAGUAAACAAGUACCCCGAUUUUCUGAUUGAGACAGAAGAAAAAAAACUUCCUGAUAGAUCUAAGUACUUUAAGGCCUGUAGAUUAUCAACUGAAUCAAUGAAUUCUGUAGAGAAGGGCAUGAACGACAGAUCCAAAUGUUCAAGAUUGCUGCUCCGAUUCAACUUCAAAGGAUCAAGACUGAGGAUUGGGUUGCUUCCCAAGUUGAGGAGAUUGAGGUUUGGCAAUGUUUUUUGGGAAUUUUCCUUGCAAAUCACAAUUAGCAAGACUUAGAGACCUUAGAGAAGAGGAUAGAUUCCUGAAGACAUGAGCAUUAACAGAAGACAUGUCCAUUCCAUCCAAAAACAGAUGUCUGACCUCGGUUAGGUUGUGAACAAGUCCUCUCAGAGCAUGUUUCUCAAUUGUAAAUUGCUCAUGGCCAUUAAUCAAAGAGAGAUCAAGUGAAACCAAUUUUGACAGGUGGGAGACUUGGGAUGGGAGUUCUCCUGCAAACCCUGUACGAGAAAGGUUGAGGUAGAAUAGGCUUGUAAACCGACCGAACUCGGAUGGAAAUUUGGAAAGAUUAAAAUCAUUGUAGGCAAGGUUGAGUUUUUGAAGGUGAGGAAGAAGGAAGAGAGUGGUAUUGGAAGGGAAGUUGCCAUAUAGGCAACUGCAGCUCAAGUCAAGGGCAAUAACAUGAGCAUUUAGGUGGUCACAAGUGACCCCAUCCCAUGAGCAGCAAUCUGUACCCUCCUUCCAUGAAUUGGUCUUGGGAUAAGAUUUAGGGCCAUCAAAACUACCGCAAUCAAAAAAAGUAGCCUCUGUUAUGGAAAAAGAGUCCUUAAACUGGAUUAGUGAAGAGCAGGAGUGAGAUCCUGAAGAAGAAAAAGAAGCAUAAAGAUGGGGAAAGAAGAGGAAGAGGCAGAGAAAGAGAUAGGGGGCCAUGUUAUGUUGGUAGAGGAAGAUGAAGGAUAGGAAUGGUAUAUAUAGGCAACAAAUAAUACCACAACAUUGGUGUUACAGUCUUUUUCUCUUUUACAUUGAAAAGUUACGGAUAUUAGAUUUUCAAAAUUUUUGUAUUUAUCAACAACCACUUAGUCUUCCUUUUACCAUUUAUUUUUCAUUCUUAAAAUUGGAUGCUUUUUCUUUUAGCAAAAUCUUGUAUUUCAUUAAAAUGUGUAUACUCAUAAUUAAAAUCUAAAAUCUCAUUUGUUAUAAAUUCUGAUAAAUUUAUUUGGGAAUAAUUAUUUUUCUUUCGUUAAUUAUUUCUCUUUUAAUCAAGUAAAAAUUAAAAAUUAAAAAGACAUAAUGAUUUAUUUAGCAUUUUUUAACUUUACAAACGAAAAGUCAUUUUAACUUCUCAUUUUUUUUUAUCUCUUUUAGCUUUAAAACAAAAAGACAUAAUGAUAUAUUUUGAUUUUUGCUCAUCUAAAAAAUCAAAGGGUGAGAGAGGGGAUUAAAAAUAUUUUUUAAAUAUAUAUUAAAAUUUUUAGAAUUAGAACUAAAUUGCUAAUUUUUGAAAAUAUUAAGGGUUAAAUUUAUUAAUUUUUUUAGAAUUUGAACUAAAAUGACAGGUUUUGUUAACAUUUAGGGCUAAAUUUGUUGAUUUUUUUUAUAUCUAGGAUCAAAUUGAUAGAAUAUGUAAACAUUGGAGGGCUAAAUUUGUUAUUAGACUAAUAAAAAAAGCCCACAUCAGCUUUCCGUCACUCAUUUAACAACCUAAUAGGAGAGUGACUAAAAUAUUUACUUUCGAAAAGGUUAACAACUAAAUCGAAAAAAUUAAUAGUUGAGUAAACUUGUUCAUGAGUUGGGCUACUUGCCAAGGCCCAAGUGCCGUCCGAAAUUUGGGAGGGUCUGGAUAAAAAUAUUAGGCCCGAAAAUUGAGUUUGGGUAAAACAUUAGGCCCGUUUAAAAUAUGGGCUAAGUUCAGGCUUGAACAUUCAAAGCCUGAGCCCAGCCCGGCCCGUUUUUAAGUGUAUAAUACUUUAUAUUAUAUAAUUUAGAACAGAUUAAAAAAAUAAACUUAUACUAAAUAGAUAAUAAUACUAUAAUGUAAACAUUAAAAUAAUGUUAAAAUGACUAUAUAAAAAUUUUUAAUAAAUAAAAAAUGUUUAAAUUAUUAAAUAUUAAAAUAACAUAAUAUAAAUAUUUUAAAAAAAACUAAAAAUUAUAUGGGCAUGCCUAAAAUGAGCUUGGGUUAGUCUUUUGCAAAUAUGGAUGAGUUUAGGUGAAAUUUUAAGCUCAUAUUUCGGGCCGAGCUAAGCUUGAGCAAGCAUAAAGUACGUUAAUAUCAUGCUUAGGCCUGACCUGGUCCAGCUCAUGAGCAUCUCUAUAGUUGAGUGACUAGAAUAGAACCAAAGGAAUAGUUUAGUGAUUAUUUUUGUAAUUGACCCAUAUGAAAUUUAGGUUAAUUUCUGCUAUUAGUCCUCGCACUUUGCAAAAGUUGUGGACUUAAUCUUCAUACUUUAAUUUGGUCAUUUUUAGUGGAGAUCAAAAUGGUAUAAUACCGACAGUGGGAACCUUACAACAUUUGAAAAAGUUAUGCCUAAUUGUGUAGUAAACAACACUUUAAAAAUGUAGUCCCUAUAUUCAAACUUAUGCCGUAAAAGUUGAAUAAUAGUAUCUAAGAAACAAAUUUUCCACCAGACUGGAAAUUUUGUAUUGCUUGGAAUUAAUUGACUCUCAUCUUCUGUUACUAGCUUCAAAAAUAUUGUAUUGCUUUAAAUUCAAACAAGAAAUAGGGGAAAUUUUUACAUGGAAACAAAUUUUGCUAUUUAAAUUUCCCAAUUCUUUACUCAAAGUUGGUUCUAAAUUAAAUUUAGAAAAAGAAAAGAGGUUUAAGGGUGCAAAAAGCCCUCAAACUUUUUCAAAACUAGCAACUAAACCCCUGCUCUUAUAUAAAAAUUGUAAAAAAAAUUGUAAAAUUAUUUAAAAAUUAAUAAAAAAUUAAAAAAAUUAAAAAUUAUUAAAAAUAUAUAAAAAUUGUAAAAUUUUAUAAAAAAUUGUAAAAUUUUAUAAAAAAGUUUAAAAAAUUUUAAAAUAUAUAGAAAUAUAAAAUUUUAUAAAAUCAUAAGAAAAUUAUACAAAAUGUAAAAAAAUAAAUUUGUAAAAAAAUUAUAAAAAUUAUUGUACCAAAAGAAAUAUUUUAUAAUUUUUCCAUAACUUUUAUUGAUUUUUACUUUUUAUCUGUUUUCACUACAUGUCACGAUGAGUUGCGACACAUAAUGACUUUAAUUGAAAAAACUAGAGGUCGUUAACUUUAACGAUCAAUAGUUAAAGUUAAUCGUUAAAAGGACUUUUUGAUGGAUUUUAUAUAUUUUUAUGAUUUUUAUAAAAUUUUAUAAUUUUUUUUAUUUUUUGACGAUUUUUCUAAAAAAAUUUCUAAUUUUAAUAAGUUUUUAAAUUUGUAUUAAAAUUUAAUAAUUUUUCUAAAAUUUUUUAUUUUUAUGAUUUUUUUUCUAAUUUUUAAUAAGAGCAGGGGCUUAAUUGCUUUUUUGAAAAAAAUUUAAGGCCUUUUUGAUGCAUUAUGAAAGUUCAAGUACCCAAUUGAGUGGGAAAAAACUAAAGGCUUAAUUGUUUCUUUGAAAAAAAAAAUUAAGGUCUUUUUGAUGCAUUAUGAAAGUUCAAGUACCCAAUUGAGCAGAAAAAGUUAGGGAUUUAAUUGCUUUUCCGCUGGAAAUUAAGUUCUAAUCUUUUCCGCAUUCAACCUAAAAGCAAAGCAUAUCGAAAAUUGGAUCAUGUAAAAAAAAAAAGUAGCCACACACAUUGGUCAAACAUAGGCAUGCUUAAUGAUCCACACGUAAUUAAUCUAUGUAUUCUGCAUAUAACAUGCAUGCUCGCACCAUUUGUUUUGCAUGUGUGAAAUAGCAUGAAAAUGAUAUACACUUGAUUUGAAGAAUAGAUCCAAGUUUAUAACUAAAAAAUCAGACAUCUGAAAUUCAUAAAAACGAAUAUGCAUGUAUAAGUCCAAAAGAAAAGAAAUCUUCACCUUUUGCAUAUUGAUGCCACUAGCUUUGCUGCGAAGUUUCUAAGUUCCCAAUGAUUGUCGGUGAAUUUAUUUCCUAACCUUUUUGCAACGAGGCAGGUAAUAAUAGAAGGCAUCAACUGGUGUAACUGAAGAACAUUUUAAAAAAUCAGAUAGGUGGAAAAUAAACCACUAGCAUAUUUGCGUUAGUUCGUGUACUUCUAAAUCAUUGAAAUAAUAAACUCACAUAAGGUUCUAUGAGUAAGUGUUCAUUCUGGAGAAGACUCCGGGCAACACGCAUCAAAGCAAACAUGUGGCAAAAAUGUAAGCUUGAGAUAACCAACCAAAAGUUCUUUGCAACAGACAUAUAUAAUGAGGUAUGAAAGAUCUUUAAGACAACCUCAUCCGCAAUGAAAUAUGUAAAAUAAGGAACUAAAGGAUGUGAUCCUUUUUUAUGCAUUAUGAAAGUUCAAGUACCCAAUUGAGCAGAAAAAAAUAGGGAUUUAAUUGCUUUUUUUAAGAAGUGUAAAGAUAUUUUUGAUACAUUUUAAAAGUUUAAAUGCUCAAUUAAGUGUAAAAAAAAAAAGAGGGACUUAAAUUUUUAUUUUUAUUUUUGAAAAUUUUGAAGGGUUUUUAUGCCCUUAAGCUAAUAAAAAGAACAUGUAUUAAUUUUGAUUAUAAUUUCAAUAAUGAUUUCAAUAUAUCGUUAAUUUUAAAAAAAAGGAAAUGCAACUUAGUUUUUUUAAAAAAAAUUAAAGAACAUGGACAACUUGAUGAUUAAAUAAAAAAAAUGUAAAGCCAAAAAUCUAGAUUAGAAUUGUAUUCAAAAUAAUAAAUAGAAUGCAUGUGUGCAAAAAGAACUCCAUUAGUAAUGUCGAAUUUCAAAGACAAAGGAGGAUGCUGUUUUUGUCGUGACAUAACAUAAAUAGUUGACUACGUGGGUGGCCACAUACAAUGCUUCAAAGGUUAAGAUAUAAUGGAAAACAAACUUUUCUUGUCGUCAAUGGUCAAUGUUAUGACCGAACAAAGUUUGGUCAAUUUCAAAGGUUAUAUUUGUCGUUUGGUAGACGAGGUGGGCGUUGCCACUGUGAAUAAUAAUAAUAAUAUCCAUACACUACAAUCCCCACCUUUGGGCCAAAAUAAUAAAACCCAAUUAAUAUGAAAGGGAGAGUUCAUACCCACUAAAAGAACACACUCCCUAUAAACCACCUCUAAUCCUGCUAAUAGUACAAUUUAACUGCACCUCCUUGGUAGUAAAAAAGUACGAAGCACAGAAUGAAAGCCCUAUGUUUCCACAUAAGUUCACACGACACGACAAUAACGAGUAGUGGAUAGUUAAUAUAAAUAAGCAGGAGGCCCCAGUUCUCAAUUGCAGACUGCAAUGCAGUGCAAUAGUUGUCACAUCUCAAACCCCUUCUUCCUCUUCUUCUUCUUCUGACACAUCACUCUCCACCAAUCCCAGAUGAUUUGGCUUUUGCCUUGUCUGAUUUGGAACCCAGUUCUCAAUUGGGUUUUUUUGGCUGCUAAGGGAAGUUGCCAUAUAGCCAACUGCAGCUCAAGUCAAGAGCAAUAACAUGAGCAUUUAGGUGGUCACAAGUGACCCCAUCCCAUGAGCAGCA
rnacentral:lncRNA from 1 species